AAGAUCCCUCAAAGACGAUGAGGUAGAUAGGUUCGAGGUGGAAGUGUGGUGACACAUGGAGCUGACGAAUACUAAUCGAUCGAGGACUUAACCAAAA
rnacentral:rRNA from 1 species